GACGAACGCUGGCGGCGUUCCUAAUACAUGCAAGUCGAGCGGACCACCCAGGAGCUUGCUCUUGUUUGGUUAGCGGCGGACGGGUGAGUAACACGUGGGUAACCUGCCCGUAAUACCGGGAUAACUCCGGGCAACCGGAGCUACUACCGGAUAACACCGACGCCCGCAUGGUCUUUGGUUGAAAGGCGGCUUCGGCUGCCUCUUACGGAUUGGCCCGCGGCGCAUUAGCUAGUUGGUGAGGUAACGGCUCACCAAGGCGACGAUCCGUAGCCGGCCUGAGAGGGUGACCGGCCACACUGGGACUGAGACACGGCCCAGACUCCUACGGGAGGCAGCAGUAGGGAAUCUUCCGCAAUGGACGAAAGUCUGACGGAGCGACGCCGCGUGAGCGAAGAAGGUCUUCGGAUCGUAAAGCUCUGUUGUUAGGGAAGAAGAAGCGCCGUUCGAACAGGGCGGCGCGGUGACGGUACCUAACGAGAAAGCCCAGGCUAACUACGUG
rnacentral:rRNA from 1 species